GAUGAACGCUGGCGGCGUGCCCAAUACAUGCAAGUCGAGCGACAGACGAGGAGCUUGCUCCUCUGACGUUAGCGGCGGACGGGUGAGUAACACGUGGAUAACCUACCUAUAAGACUGGGAUAACUUCGGGAAACCGGAGCUAAUACCGGAUAAUAUAUUGAACCGCAUGGUUCAAUAGUGAAAGACGGUUUUGCUGUCACUUAUAGAUGGAUCCGCGCCGCAUUAGCUAGUUGGUAAGGUAACGGCUUACCAAGGCAACGAUGCGUAGCCGACCUGAGAGGGUGAUCGGCCACACUGGAACUGAGACACGGUCCAGACUCCUACGGGAGGCAGCAGUAGGGAAUCUUCCGCAAUGGGCGAAAGCCUGACGGAGCAACGCCGCGUGAGUGAUGAAGGUCUUCGGAUCGUAAAACUCUGUUAUUAGGGAAGAACAAAUGUGUAAGUAACUAUGCACGUCUUGACGGUACCUAAUCAGAAAGCCACGGCUAACUACGUG
rnacentral:rRNA from 1 species